rnacentral:rRNA from 1 species
ACGAACGCUGGCGGCGUGCUUAACACAUGCAAGUCGAACGGAAAGGCCCUGCUUGCAGGGUACUCGAGUGGCGAACGGGUGAGUAACACGUGGGUGAUCUGCCCUGCACUUCGGGAUAAGCCUGGGAAACUGGGUCUAAUACCGGAUAGGAGCCAUUUUUAGUGUGAUGGUUGGAAAGUUUUUUCGGUGUAGGAUGAGCUCGCGGCCUAUCAGCUUGUUGGUGGGGUAAUGGCCUACCAAGGCGGCGACGGGUAGCCGGCCUGAGAGGGUGGACGGCCACAUUGGGACUGAGAUACGGCCCAGACUCCUACGGGAGGCAGCAGUGGGGAAUAUUGCACAAUGGGCGCAAGCCUGAUGCAGCGACGCCGCGUGGGGGAUGACGGCCUUCGGGUUGUAAACUCCUUUCGCUAGGGACGAAGCUUUUUGCGACGGUACCUAGAUAAGAAGCACCGGCUAACUACGUG